rnacentral:pre_miRNA from 1 species
AUUGUACUCCCUCCGUCCGAAAAUACUUGUCAUCAAAAUGGAUAAAAAGAGAUGUAUCUAGAACUAAAAUACGUCUAGAUACAUCUCUUUUUAUCCAUUUUCAUGACAAGUAUUUCCGGACGAAGGGAGUAAAAC